GGAUGAACGUUGGCGGCGUGCCUAAUACAUGCAAGUCGAACGGAGACGGUAGCAAUACGGUCUCAGUGGCGAACGGGUGAGUAACGCGUUGGUGACCUGCCCCGAAGUGUGGAAUAACAGAUCGAAAGAGCUGCUAAUACCGCAUAAUAUCCAGAAGAUUAGAUGCUUUUGGAUUAAAGGAUUUAUUCGCUUCGGGAGGGGCCUGCGUCCCAUCAGCUAGUUGGUAAGGUAAAGGCUUACCAAGGCUAUGACGGGUAGGGGACCUGAGAGGGUGGCCCCCCACAAUGGAACUGAAACACGGUCCAUACACCUACGGGUGGCAGCAGUAGGGAAUAUUAGUAAUGGGCGAAAGCCUGAACUAGCAACGCCGCGUGUGCGAAGAAGGCCUUCGGGUUGUAAAGCACUUUUUGAGAGGAUGAGGAAGGACGGUACUCUCAGAAUAAGUCUCGGCUAACUACGUGCCAGCAGCCGCGGUAACACGUAGGAGGCGAACGUUAUCCGGAUUUACUGGGCGUAAAGCGCGUGUAGGUGGUUUGGUAAGUAGGGCGUGAAAGCUCCCGGCUCAACUGGGAGAGGCCGUACUAAACUGCGGAGCUAGAGGAUGGUAGAGGGAGGUGGAAUUCCAGGUGUAGUGGUGAAAUGCGCAGAUAUCUGGAGGAACACCAGUGGCGAAGGCGGCCUCCUGGACCAUACCUGACACUCAGACGCGAAAGCUAGGGUAGCAAACGGAAUUAGAGACUCCGGUAGUCCUAGCCCUAAACGAUGCAGNNNAGGCGUCGGCGGUUUAAUCACCNNNCGGUGUCCAAGCUAACGCGAUAAGUCUGCCGCCUGAGGACUACGGCCGCAAGGCUAAAACUCAAAGGAAUUGACGGGUCCCCGCACAAGCAGCGGAGCGUGUGGUUUAAUUCGAUGCUCCGCGAAGAACCUUACCUGGGUUUGACAUAACAGUGGUAGAGAAACGAAAGUGGACCGACCCUUCGGGGAGCUGUUACAGGUGUUGCAUGGCUGUCGUCAGCUCGUGUCGUGAGAUGUUCGGUUAAGUCCGCUAACGAGCGUAACCCGCGCUGUGUGUUACAAGUGUCACACAGUACCGCCGGUAUUAAGUCGGAGGAAGGUGCGGAUGACGUCAAGUCAGCAUGACCUUUAUAUCCAGGGCUACACACACGCUACAAUGGUCAGCACAAUAGGUUGCCAAGCCGCAAGGCGGAGCCAAUCCUCCAAAGCUGGCCUCAGUUCAGAUUGCAGGCUGCAACUCGCCUGCAUGAAGUCGGAGUUGCUAGUAACCGCAGGUCUGCAUACUGCGGUGAAUACGUUCCCGGGGAU
rnacentral:rRNA from 1 species